rnacentral:rRNA from 1 species
CCAAGGAGUUUAGCGUGUGCGCGAGUCAUUGGGUGUAAAAACCUAAAGGCGAAAUGAAAGUGAAGGAAACUUUGUUUUCGAGGGAGGAUGGGUUAGGUCCCUCUCCAGGGCCGGUCUCGCACUCCCGGGGCGUCUCUAUCUCAUCGCGAGAGGAGGCGCACCUAGAGCGUACACGCUGAUACCCGAAAGAUGGUGAACUAUGCCUGGCCAGGACGAAGCCAGGGGAAACCCUGGUGGAGGUCCGCAGCGAUUCUGACGUGCAAAUCGAUCGUCGGAGCUGGGUUUAGGGGCGAAAGACCAAUCGAACCAUCUAGUAGCUGGUUCCCUCUGAAGUUUCCCUCAGGAUAGCUUGCGCUCGGAUGAAACGAGUCUCAUCCGGUAGAGCGAAUGAUUAGAGGCCUUGGGGUCGAAACGACCUCAACCUAUUCUCAAACUCCAAAUAGAUGAGAACCCCGGCUUUCUUGAACCCUGUUUAUGAAGCCGGGGGCUCGGAUCAGAGUGCCAAGUGGGCCAAUUUU